rnacentral:lncRNA from 1 species
UUUUUUUGUUUGUGUGUUAAUAUUGGGUUUGAGCUAGAGUAAAUUAGUUUGGGUUAGGUUUUGUGAUUGGGUUAAUGGGUAUUUGGGGCUUGGUGUAAUAUGGGCUUGUAAAAAAAUGAGUUUUGUAUUUAUUAUAUUUUUUGUGUUUUAUUAUUUGUUUUUAUUUAUUUUGAUUUUGGGGGGGGGGGUUUGGUUUAUUUAGGCUUGGGCCCAGGCCAAAGUUGGCCUAUUACAAAUACAUUGUAAAUAAUUUCUUUUAACAUCAAUUCAUGUCAUAAUCGAUGCAAAGUAUGAUACACAAUCAAAACCGAGUCUCAGUUGUGA